rnacentral:hammerhead_ribozyme from 1 species
AUUCAGGCGAUGAGUCCCAAACAGGAGGAAGCGCACGUCCUGGAU